UACGUAGGGUGCAAGCGUUGUCCGGAAUUAUUGGGCGUAAAGAGCUUGUAGGCGGUCUGUCACGUCGGCUGUGAAAUCCCGAGGCUCAACCUCGGGUCUGCAGUCGAUACGGGCAAACUAGAGUAUUGCAGGGGAGACUGGAAUUCCUGGUGUAGCGGUGAAAUGCGCAGAUAUCAGGAGGAACACCGAUGGCGAAGGCAGGUCUCUGGGCCACUACUGACGCUGAGAAGCGAAAGCGUGGGGAGCGAACAGG
rnacentral:rRNA from 1 species